UUUUUUUUUUUUUUUUUUUUUUUUUUUGUCUUUUUGUACUUUUAAGACCUCACCAGCAGCAUAUGGAGGUUCCCAGGCUAGGCAUCUAAUCGGAGCUGUGGCUGCCAGCCUAUGCCAGAGCCAUAGCAACACCAGAUCCGAGCCUCAUCGUCAACCUACACCACAGCUCAUGGCAACACCAGAUCCUUAACCCACUGAGUGAGGCCAGGAUUGGAACCCGUAACCUCACAGUUCCUAGUUGGAUUCAUUUCUGCUGCGCCAUGAUGGGUUAGCACUUUUUAAAGUAUUUUUAGAAAAAAAUACAUAGUGUGAUAAAGCAGUAAAAUCUCAAUUAAACAUUAAUGGCAAGCCUAGAGACCUUGUACAGUGAAAUGUUUUUUCUCGAAAAAAAAAAAAAUCAAUUGUUAUUUUGUCCCUCGUAUUCAAUCUGCUUUCAUUUUAGCUCUUUCUGCCUCGCCAACCCACCCCCGACCCCUACCCCUGCCUUGCCUCUUUCCCCUCAAUCUCUUGUUCUUUUUCUCUAAUCUUAUAUUGCUCAUUGCACUUUUGAGAAAAGUUAUUUUACCACUCCUUUCUCCAAGGAACGCUUUCCUCAGAGAAAGUCACAUGAUACCUUCUUCCUUUUAUUCUUCCCUUCUUGUUCCCCAUCCAUGUCCCCACCACCUCAGAACUUCUAGUUCCCACGACAAUUUCAAAUAUAGCCUAUUUUGCUGUUCCUCCUACCAGGGAGCUUAAAAUGCCUCUAAUUACACCGUUUUCCCCAUCUCUCCUCUUCUUUGUAAUUUAGAUGCAGCACAGCAGUUCAGUUUGCCUGACUCUCCUCUCUGAUUUGUCAUGUUAGUUUGAUGGGUUUCUGUCUUAUGUGAGUCUUGCCCCUAAAUAAAGGCCCAGCACCCCCAUCUGUGUUUAAAAAAACCGCUUCACAGGCAAAACCAAAGGGCCACAGAGCUCCAGUCACAAUAGGCUUUGAUAUUCAACCAGACCCAGGUUGCUAUUCAACUCUUGGUUGAUAAAGAAAUUUCAGUCUUAUUUACCUAAAAAUUUUCCUUCUGCUGAUAAGAAUGCAAGUACUUAUUUCCACCUGGAUGUGCCCACAAACGAAAAGUAAUAUAAUCCUAUGGUUUAACCAUUUCCAUUGGUCCAGAGUAGUUUCCUUCAAAAAGAGUGGGAUCUCAGCAAAUCCACUGUGAAGUUGUGGUGAGAAAAGAACAAUAAACAUAUGUGGCAGGACAGUAUUUUGAACAUUAACUGAUACCCCCUCUUUCCUAUCUAUUCUUUCCUGUUAUCUCUACCCCUCCCCAUACCCUUUCCCUUUAGGCUACUAAUUAUUUCGCUUUUAUUACUCAAGGAAAAAAAAUGAAAGAAAGCACAGAAUUGAUUCCUGAUAUUUUUACAUUUCAAAAGAGACUUCAAAACUGUAAGCAGGGGAGAGUUUAAGAGAAAAGUCUACUGAAGGCAAAAGAUUAAGCUUUUGAAAUGUCAAAGCCAAUGCCUGGAAAAGACUCAAGACUCGGAUAGUGUACAGAAUGUUAGAGUCAGACUCUUCUGUUUCCUGCGACUAGGAAGGGUCUGGAUCCAGGAGAGCCAGUGAGGAAGCUAGCAGUGAGCAGACUUCAGGGUUUCAGAGACAGUGGUCUGGUCUGUGAGGUAUACAUCUUGCCAGAGAGCACAGGGGAUGGUGAGUCCCACAAGCUGAGGGUAAGGCAAUGAGAUCCCAGAGUUCUCAUCCCCUGCCAGCAAGAAGCAGAAGCAGAAGCAGAAGGCAUGUCUGGGAGAGAACUGGGGUAGCUGGGCCCAAGGUACCUCCAGGGCAUAAUUCUAGGGACGUAGUGGGAAGAGAAAAAUCUUUGUUCUCCCUGUGUGUGUGCCUCUCUCUGUAUCCAAAUUUUCCCUUUUAAUAAGAAUAGCAGGGAGUUCCCAUUGUGGCUCAGCAGGAACACCAGACAUACCAGAUUAGUGCCUGUGCUAAGGGUCUCAUUUUAACUUUUUUUCUUUUUAGGGCCACACCCACAGCAUAUGGAAGUUCCCAGGCUAAAAGUUGAAUUGGAGUUGCAGGUGCUGGCCUACACCACAGCCACAGCAACGCCAGAUCUGACCUGCAUCUGCGACCUAUACCACACCUCAAAGCAAUGCCAGAUCCUUCAAUGCAAUGAGCGAAGCCAGGAAUCAAACCUGCAUCCUCAUGAAUGCUUGGUGGGUUCUUAACCUGCUGAGCCGCAAUGGGAACUCCAAACAUAUCUUUUUGAGAAGGACACAAUUCAACCCACAAAAGCCCGUUUACACAGAUUAGCUCACUAUGUGCUUUUGAACUCCCACCAACCCAUUUCUUGCCUCUGAUACCUUCUGGUGGAAUCUGUGGUCAUGAAAACAUCUGGUAAUCUCAUUCACAGUAAGGUAUAACUGACCAAAAUUGUCUAUGUUUAUUUAUAAAGUACAAUGGUCCAAAAUGAUAUAAAGUAACAGUAAGAAAUGGAUAAAAUUUACUAUGUUGUCCCUUUAGGAAGUAUCUACAUUUUAGUAAAUCACAAGGAAUUAUACCACUUCCUCAAUAACAUAUAACAUAUUUGUUAGGAACUGUAAUCAUAGCAAUACAUAGGAUAAUCAGUAAAAACUUGCUCAGUAACACUUGCUUUUUAUUAUAAUUAACAUAAAAACUGCAUUUUCUAUUAAUGGCAAUGUAGGGCUGAAUUCCAUGUUUUAAUGCAAUGAUGUGCACUCAUAAUUCCCUACUGAUGAUUACUGUAAAUUUCUUCAACACCAAAAAGAAAUACAAACACUCCUAAACAAACUGCAAACUUGAUAGCUACUGCCACACUAUCUACUUCAUAAUUGGUUCAAAGCCUAUGAAAUUAGCAAGAUAUUUGAACCACUCAAACCAACAAUGGCUUUAAAGCCAAUCCCCUCCAAAACUGCAUUUAGGAGCCAUUUUUGCAGUCAGUAAAGGAUUUAUUUUUUUAAACUCAAGAAAGCUGGAGUUCCUAUCAUGCCUCAGCAGAAACAAAUCUGACUAGUAUCCAUGAGGACGCAGGUUCGAUCCCUGGCCUUACUCACCGGGUUAAGGAUCUGGGAUCAAACCCGCAACCUCAUGGUUCCUAGUCAGAUUCGUUAACCACUGUGCCACGAUGGGAACUCCAAUAGCUACAAUUUUAAAGAAACACUUAAAUCAGACUGACACUAAGAGAGGAAAACUUGACUUCUAUGUGUUGUACUCUAAAAUACCAUCAAUUCUCAUUAUUAGUAGUAGUUAUACUCUAUAAAGUUGCUACAAACACUGAAUUAGUGAAUACUGAACCACUAUUCCUAGGGGAAAUACAGGGUUAGGUUCCUAUGAGCCUCAGGUCACAAAAUUUUUAUCAACUGAACCCAUAAUCUUGUGUCAUGUGUGUUUCUGAUUAAAGACACAUUAUUCAAUGUGUUCUUCUUUUGGAGGCGGGGAGGAGAAGCUCACAUCCAUGGCAUGUGGAAGUUCCCGGGCCAGGGGUUCAUGCCACAGCAGCAACCCAAGCCACUGUAGUGACAAUGCAGGAUCCUUAACCCACCACACCAUAAGAGAACUCCUAAAGACAUAUUAUUCAGUGUAUAUCAUUGACUAACAUUGAACUCACAGCCCACAACACUAUAAUUUAUGCCUGAGAGAAGCUUCUCUAACACUGUAUUUUGUCCUUAAGGCAUAUCACAGCCCUCUUAUUCUUAGGAGUGGUAGAUAUCACUUCAGCACUAUCUUUGAGGGGCAUUUUUAAAUUGCUUUUAUUUUUUUUGGUUUUUUUAGGGCCACUCCUGCGGCAUAUGGAAGUUCCCAUGUUAGCGGUCUGUCGGAGCUGCCUCAGUAACAUGGAAUCCAAGCCGCAUCUGCUACCUACACCACAGCUUAUAUCAAUACCUGAUCCUUAACCCAUUGAGUGGGGCCAGGGACUGAACCCAAGUCCUCAUAGAUACCAUUUGGAUUUGUUACUGCUGAGCCACAAUGGGAACUCACAGGGGCCAUUUUAAAUAGCAAAAAUCACCCAUUAAAAGCACAGAAAUGUGAAACAUGUAGCAUUAAAUAGAUCACAAAAAGGACUCUUGUUCAUAGCAUGAGACCUGAAAUAAGAAGGCCAAGUGUCAUCUUGUUUGACCUCACCUGGGAACGUGUACAAUCAGCAACUCAAAUUUUUUUGUCCCUCUACUCAUAUCUGGGAAUGACUAGGAAAAUGUCAUGGAUAUCUAUUUGGGGAUGAUAAGUAAAUCAUUAGCAGGUAGGAGAAUUCACAAAUACGAAGCUUGAAUAAUGAGGCACUUUGACCUGACUUCCAUUGCCAAUAAAUAAAUAAAUAAAUAAAUAAGAUUUUAUUUGCCUAAAAAAAUAGAUUAUUUACAUUUAAAGUGAAUAUUUGUAAUGUGAGGUCUCAUAGAGUGCCAGAUAAGUAUAAUUAAUAUGCAAGUCUUACUGAUUCUGAAUGACUCCAGGCAAAGGGGCUGCAUUUCUGUGGGCCUCAGCUAUUUGUUCAUAAACUGAGAGUCUUAGACUACAAAUAUGCAUAUAUCAUAUUCAUAUAAAUACAGAUAUUUUAAAGCUAUUUUUAGAACUCACACAGUAUACACAUUUGAAUGUGCUUAAUAUCAGGAAAAUAGAUAAGACAUAAUACUCUGGACAGAUAAAGGACAGUGAUGCUAUGGGAGAGGUUUUCUUUUACACACUUUUUGAGUUUUGAACCAUGAAAGCAUAUUAGCUAUUUAAAAAAAAAACAUUAAAAAGAAAUAGAAGAAAGAGAAUAAAAAUUAAAUUUUGAGAAGAAGAAGAAAGAAGGAGAAAAGAAAGAAGGAAGGAAAAAAGAAGACUCCUGAUAGGCAAUUCAUGUUCUGUAUGGCAGAGAGGGCAGAUAUUUUAAGCUUAGGUUGUACUACGACCAUUAGGCCAUAGGGUUUUAUUUAUAUACAUUUUAAUAAAUCAUGUACUUAUGAUUUACCAAACACCAGGGACAGUGCUACAAUAUUAUCUUAUUUAGUUUUUUCCUAUAUCUGUGAAGUAGGUAUUAAGUUGAAUCAUAUGAAAUAGCUGAUACUCAACAAUUUUUGACCUACAAAAGUGUUGUUUCAUAUGUUAAAUCUAAUAUUAACAUACCCAUUUUAAUGAUGAGGAACUCAAGGUUCACAAAGGCUGAGUCAUUGCCCAGUGGUGCACACAGCCUGCAAGAGAGACUCCUGACUUUAACCCAGAUCUCCUUUUCCCUCCGAGUAGCAGAUACCAUUUCAGGCCAUAAAAGUAAAUGUACAAGAAGUGCUUAGUUUUCUUUAUAUACAUAUGCAACCUUAAAUACCACCACAUGGUCAAUGUUUGACUGUGAAGAUGAAGACAGUGAGGAAGAUGCUGCUUCUGAAAACCAAGGAACAGAGAUUAAUAACAAGUCACAGGAAACUAGGAGAGGGGCCUGGAAUGGCUCCUCCCCUCACAGUCUCAGCAGGAAGCAGACUGGCCAGUACCUUGAUCUCGGACUUCUAGUCUCCAGAACUGGGAAACCAUUUCUUUUUUUCUUUUUAGGGCUGCACCCUCAGCAUAUGUAAAUUCCCAGGCUAGGGAAUCAAUAGGAGCUACAGCUGACAGCCUAUGCCACAGUUAUAGCAAUGUGGGAUCUGAGCUAAGUCUGUGAUCUACACCACAGCUCAUAGGAAUGCCAGAUCCUUAAACCACUGGUGAGGCCAGGGAUCAAACCCACAGCCUUAUAGUUAUUAGUCAGGUUCGUUUCCACUGUGCCACAAGGGGAACUCUGGGAGACCAUUUCUGUUAUAAGCCCCCUAGUCCUUUGGUCCUCUAUUACAGUGGUGCUAGGAAUCUAACACAUGCCUAUCACUGGCUGAAGAAUGAAACUAGUCCCCCUUGUGACUUCUACUUCUGCUCUAUUCCAACAAAACUGGAAAAUAAUUUACUUAGAAGGUAGACAUAAUAAACUGAAUCUCACCCAAGGUCCUGAAACUGUAGCUGUGACCUUUCCCAGAGUACAAAACUCUUGAUUCUGAAAUCUAUCUUCAAGGAUGGGUAACUAGGAGUGACCAUCUCAGCCACUAACAACUGUGCUAGACUCUUCUAUGCAAUAAGUGUGACUGCUUUUGUGUUGUGGAAAGAUUAAAUUAAUGCAGGGAGAGAGUUUCUGUGGGGAGAGCAGAUGUUAUUUAAUGUUAGCAGAGUUAAAUGUAUUCUG
rnacentral:lncRNA from 1 species